rnacentral:piRNA from 1 species
UAUGUAAUCUCCAUGUCCUUCCUUCAA